AUCCGGAGCCUACGUUACUCGCUUGGGCUUAGUGUUGUUUGUGUGUUUGCUUGCCUGCCUGUUCGCUUGGGACAGGUCUACAGCAGUGAAGUGGAAACAAGUUUUACGUCCCAACUUCAACGCGUCCGCCUAGUUGGUAGGCGUUUGUGCGCCAUCGCUCCCCUCUUUCCGAGCCCAGCAUCGGUCCACACGGCACGUCGCCCCAACUAAAGACGUUUUUGUGUUUGUUGUUCGCGCUCUGCGCUCUGCGCUCGGUGUGUGUAAUUCACUCGUUCAUAGUUCUCUCCCUCGCUGCUCCAAAUUCGCCUGUGCAUUCGCGUUCGUACAGUUAAUUUGUAUCGUUUGUGUUGUUGCAUUUGUUGUUGCCGUUACUGCUGCUGCUAACUUGCAGUCUUAACCUUUUCGGUAGAGCUACUGUUGCUGUUGUUGUUGCUGCUGUUACUGCUGAGUAUUGUGUUUUGUGCAACAGUGCAGCCGCUUGUCUUCUACAUAAAUUGCAAUAAAAUACAUGCUCAUGUAUGCGUAAAAAUACAUAAAUAUAUGAAGUGUUCGUUUGUGAAGCUUAAUCAGAGUAAAUAUUCAAAUAUCGUAAUAUAAUUAACAACUGUCGCGAAUGGCUCUUAUAUAAAUAUACCUAUACACAAAUGUGAAUGCAAUAAAGUAAAUAAAUAAUAAUAAUGAAGUGUGCUUAAAACUACAAACAAACUCACUACAACAACACAUGCAUCUUGAAUUAAAUGGAAUAAGUCUGCUACAACUACAAUUAUAUAUUUCUUGACUGGUGA